GUGGGGAAUCUUAGACAAUGGGCGCAAGCCUGAUCUAGCCAUGCCGCGUGAGUGAUGAAGGCCCUAGGGUUGUAAAGCUCUUUCAGCUGGGAAGAUAAUGACGGUACCAGCAGAAGAAGCCCCGGCUAACUCCGUGCCAGCAGCCGCGGUAAUACGGAGGGGGCUAGCGUUGUUCGGAAUUACUGGGCGUAAAGCGCGCGUAGGCGGACUGAAAAGUUGGGGGUGAAAUCCCGGGGCUCAACCUCGGAACUGCCUUCAAAACUAUCAGUCUGGAGUUCGAGAGAGGUGGGUGGAAUUCCGAGUGUAGAGGUGAAAUUCGUAGAUAUUCGGAGGAACACCAGUGGCGAAGGCGGCUCACUGGCUCGAUACUGACGCUGAGGUGCGAAAGCGUGGGGAGCAAACAGGAUUAGAAACCCUGGUAGUCC
rnacentral:rRNA from 1 species